rnacentral:rRNA from 1 species
UACGUAGGGUGCAAGCGUUGUCCGGAAUUAUUGGGCGUAAAGAGCUCGUAGGCGGUUUGUCGCGUCUGCUGUGAAAACUCGGGGCUUAACUCCGGGCCUGCAGUGGGUACGGGCAGACUAGAGUGCGGUAGGGAGACUGGAAUUCCUGGUGUAGCGGUGAAAUGCGUAGAUAUCCUAAGGAACACCGGUGGCGAAGGCGGCACGCUGGACACCUUCGUGACGCUGAGGCGCGAAGCCAGGGA